AGAAGAAAGAGGAGAACUAGCACAGUGGGUAGGGGCUGCAGAACUGAUCAACCCAGGCUCUCUUUAUACAUUUUUAAAUUUCAGAGAUUUGUUAGAGGACUGGCUACAGAGAAGCACAAACAUUUCAGGCAAAAAAGGAAAAGAGCACCAAAGCUGGGAAUAUACCGCAACACAGACAAUGAAUGCCUCACUGCUGCCGGCUCCGGGGCCAGCAGUGGAGAGGCACAGGCUGUUGGACCUUCAUCCCGCCAGGCGCUCUUUCCACAUCCUUCCUUGGGCCAACAAGGGGCAGGAAUGGAAAUACCCGGGACCCACAGGCAGCCGUGAUAACUGAUGUUAAGAGACCCGCAACAGGCAGUGUGUGAGCUCCAGCACGUACUUCUCAGCCUCAUGUAAGUGGCCCAUAAUAACUACAGCUUCAGCAGACAACUAAAGAGACUGCAUUAAGGUGAUUUCUCUGGCUAUAAAGAGAGUCUGGCCUGCAGAGCAGUGUGGCUGCUGGGACCUCUGGGAUAGGCAACACUGCCCUCUCUCCCGCAGGGCUACUCGCUGGGCAGGUCGGGGCCCAUGGAAUGACCCAGUAACUGCUCCUUACCCAGCACACUGUCUUUACUGCCACCUGCAAUUAUGCUGUGAAGAUGACUGGGCGUGGUCAUUACGAUUCAGAGAAAUCAAGAUCUAUGACCAUUUUAGGCAAAGAGAGAAACUUGGAGAAUUGCUGAGGACUACCGAACCUUGUUUUGCUUUUUAAAAAAAUACUAAAUCCUGA
rnacentral:antisense_RNA from 1 species